AUCUGACCCUAAGUGCUGUGGUCUCACUUUUGUGUCUGCACUGAGUUUGUUACUUGGUGCCAAAUGAUCCUCUCUUCAUCAGGAUAAAGUCACUACAUUAUCAGCUUUUCACACCAGCUACUCAUCUCAACUGGAGAAAACAGCACUUGGGAGUCAGAGAGGAAAAGUGUUCAGUGAAGAAAUUCAGUGAUGAGAGAAGAGUUUCAUUGGUGUUGGAAGGCAAACACAGAAAAGUAAACACAGCCCAGUGGAUUACAACAGAUGAAUGGUCACCACUUAGUAACAACAUUAAAUCCUGCCUUUCAAGAGUCAAAAGGACUGGAAUCUGCUUCUAAGG